GUUGCCCAUUCAAGACCGAGUCAUUCUGAAAGACUUUACAACAGAGGUUACAAAAUCUCAACAACAUACUGCUGCUGAGAAAAUCCAUUUUUCUUCCAGCUCCUGUGAAGAUUGUAGGUUAAGCUCAGAAGGGACUGAGAAGUCUGGGCACGACAGUAGACAUAGAGGAUGUUACUGUAUCUGCUAAAGAAAACUGGGACAGGACUUAUAUACUGCCCCAUUAGUGCACAUAACUCUUUCGACACAUAGCGCAAGCAGUAUCUUCUCCCAUCCACUCUGCUUUGGAGCAUGGACAUCAACCUUCAAUAAAGGAGGAGAAAAAGGAAUAUGGUAUCCACCAAAAGGCAGGCAGAUGAUGGCAUUCCUUCAAGACAUAACUCUAACAUGCUCUUUUGCAACUACUCAUCCUCCUUAGGUCAUCUGCAUAUGAUAUACAAGCUGCAACAGCAUCUAAAAAUAGCAAAGUUCCAUUUAUUAUUUCCUUUUAUUUUGGUUGUUCUACUUUUUCCUCUACAGUAGAUAUUAUCUGCCAGUAUGUUUGAUGACUGAGAACUGUAUAUUUUGCCAGAAAUAAAUAAACAGGAUGUCUGAUAAUCCACAGUGUCCCUUCCAGCUCUGCAGUUCUAAAAUUCUAAGGGGGGGGGGGAAUGCAUAUAGAUGCAAAUAGACACCCAAUCUUCAUCUCUAGUUGCAUUUGAGCCAGCUGAAAAUCUCCACCUUGUUAUUUUAUGAGCCUACAGAAAUUCAUGAACAACCCAUAGGCAUCCACACAGAGUAAGCCAACAGUCUAGUAAAGUGGUCGGGAAACGGGUGAUUUACCCCAAAUGGGGUAAAAAUGAAAAUCCUGGGGUUAGUGAGGGUGUGCGCUGAGGCACUUCCUGGCUGCCCUGCUCUCGUGCACCACAUGCUCCUCUCUCCCCAGCCUGGCUGGCGGCGGCAGCGGCUGCAUGGCUGCUAGCCCGAUGCUCGCCUCACCUCUCCCGCCCUUUUUAGGAGCCGAGGCCACCUUGGGAUGCAAGUGGGUGGGAAGCAGACUAAAGACCGAGGCACA